GCUCGCCCCGAGGGGCCCGGACCUCGGCGAGCCCGCCACGGUCCCCUCCGGCGCCACCGCCACCGCCGCCGCCGGAGCAGCAUGGCCCAGCUGGGGAAGCCGCUGCGCGCCCUGACUUCGCUGAAGUCCCCCUGCUGCGUGCUCGAGGUGCUCCUGUGCGCGCUGGCGGCGGCGGCGCGCGGCCAGGAGAUGUACGCCCCGCACUCCAUCCGGAUCGAGGGGGACGUCACCCUCGGGGGGCUGUUCCCGGUGCACGCCAAGGGCCCCAGCGGAGUGCCCUGCGGCGACAUCAAGAGGGAGAGCGGGAUCCACAGGCUGGAGGCGAUGCUCUACGCCCUGGACCAGAUCAACAGCGACCCCAACCUACUGCCCAACGUGACGCUGGGCGCGCGGAUCCUGGACACUUGUUCCAGGGACACUCACGCGCUCGAGCAGUCGCUCGCUUUCGUGCAGGCGCUCAUCCAGAAGGACACGUCCGACGUGCGCUGCACCAACGGCGAGCCCCCCGUGUUCGUCAGGCCGGAGAAAGUAGUUGGAGUGAUCGGGGCUUCGGGGAGUUCGGUCUCCAUCAUGGUAGCCAACAUCCUGAGGCUUUUCCAGAUCCCCCAGAUCAGCUACGCGUCGACGGCCCCGGAGCUGAGCGACGACCGCCGCUACGACUUCUUCUCCCGCGUGGUGCCCCCCGACUCCUUCCAAGCCCAGGCCAUGGUGGACAUCGUCAAGGCCCUGGGCUGGAACUACGUGUCGACCCUCGCGUCUGAGGGAAGCUACGGAGAGAAAGGUGUGGAGUCCUUCACGCAGAUUUCCAAAGAGGCAGGUGGGCUCUGCAUUGCCCAGUCCGUGAGAAUCCCCCAGGAGCGCAGAGACAGGACCAUUGACUUUGAUAGAAUUAUCAAACAGCUCCUGGACACCCCCAACUCCAGGGCCAUCGUGAUUUUUGCCAACGAUGAGGAUAUAAAGCAGAUCCUGGCGGCAGCCAAAAGAGCGGACCAGGUGGGCCACUUUCUCUGGGUGGGGUCCGACAGCUGGGGGUCCAAGAUAAACCCCCUGCACCAGCACGAAGACAUCGCAGAAGGAGCCAUCACCAUUCAGCCCAAGAGAGCCACUGUGGAAGGGUUUGACGCCUACUUCACGUCCCGCACGCUUGAAAACAAUAGAAGAAACGUAUGGUUUGCCGAGUACUGGGAGGAGAACUUCAACUGCAAGUUGACGAUUAGUGGGUCCAAAAAAGAAGACACAGAUCGCAAAUGCACAGGGCAGGAGAGAAUUGGGAAGGAUUCCAACUACGAGCAGGAAGGUAAAGUUCAGUUUGUGAUUGACGCUGUCUACGCCAUGGCUCACGCCCUCCACCACAUGAACAAGGAUCUCUGUGCUGACUACCGGGGCGUCUGCCCAGAGAUGGAGCAAGCCGGAGGCAAGAAGUUGCUGAAGUAUAUCCGCAAUGUCAACUUCAACGGCAGCGCGGGCACGCCAGUGAUGUUCAACAAGAACGGGGAUGCCCCAGGGCGCUACGACAUCUUCCAGUACCAGGCGACAAACACCACCAGCCCUGGCUACCGUCUGAUCGGGCAGUGGACGGACGAGCUUCAGCUCAACAUAGAGGACAUGCAGUGGGGAAAAGGAGUCAGGGAGAUCCCGGCCUCGGUGUGCACCCGGCCCUGCAAGCCAGGGCAGAGGAAGAAGACGCAGAAGGGCACUCCGUGCUGCUGGACCUGCGAGCCGUGCGACGGCUACCAGUACCAGUUUGACGAGGUGACGUGCCAGCACUGCCCGUACGACCAGAGGCCGAACGAGAACCGCACGGGCUGCCAGGACAUCCCCAUCAUCAAGCUGGAGUGGCACUCGCCCUGGGCCGUCAUCCCAGUCUUCCUGGCCAUGCUGGGCAUCGUCGCCACCCUCUUCGUGAUGGCCACCUUCAUCCGCUACAACGACACCCCCAUCGUGCGGGCGUCGGGCCGGGAGCUCAGCUACGUGCUGCUGACGGGCAUUUUCCUCUGCUACAUCAUCACCUUCCUGAUGAUCGCGAAGCCCGACGUGGCGGUGUGCUCCUUCCGGCGGGUGUUCCUGGGCCUGGGCAUGUGCAUCAGCUACGCGGCCCUCCUGACCAAAACCAACCGGAUCUACCGCAUAUUCGAGCAGGGCAAGAAGUCGGUCACCGCCCCCAGGCUCAUCAGCCCCACGUCCCAGCUGGCCAUCGCCUCCAGCCUGAUAUCCGUCCAGCUGCUGGGCGUCUUCAUCUGGUUCGGCGUCGACCCCCCGAACAUCGUCGUGGACUACGACGAGCACAAGACGAUGAGCCCCGAGCAGGCCAGGGGCGUCCUCAAGUGUGACAUCACAGACCUGCAGAUCAUCUGCUCCCUGGGGUACAGCAUCCUCCUCAUGGUCACGUGCACUGUGUACGCCAUCAAGACUCGGGGUGUGCCCGAGAAUUUUAACGAGGCCAAGCCCAUCGGGUUCACCAUGUACACGACGUGUAUAGUGUGGCUCGCCUUCAUCCCGAUUUUCUUCGGCACCGCUCAGUCGGCGGAGAAGCUCUACAUACAAACCACCACGCUCACCGUCUCCAUGAACCUGAGCGCGUCCGUGGCGCUCGGCAUGCUGUACAUGCCGAAGGUGUACGUCAUCAUCUUCCACCCCGAGCUCAACGUCCAGAAGCGGAAGCGCAGCUUCAAGGCCGUGGUCACGGCCGCCACCAUGUCGUCCCGGCUGUCGCACAAACCCAGUGACAGGCCCAACGGCGAGGCCAAGACAGAGCUCUGCGAGAACGUGGAUCCCAACAACUGUAUACCACCAGUAAGAAAGAGUGUACAAAAGUCUGUUACUUGGUACACUAUCCCACCAACAGUAUAGCUUUUGACUGCUUUCUAAAAGGUAAGAAAACAAUCUAAUUCUUAUUUGUUUGUGUGUUCUUGUCUGCGCUGAGAGUUGGAAAUGUUUCCAGGAAAACUGUGCAUGACUGAUGACCUAUCAAUCUAUCUGUACGAAGAAAUGCAUUUUCAGAGAUGAACUACUAAUCUGAUAAGCUUAGUGCCGGGAACCUGCCAUGGGUCACAUUCUUUUCUGGAGUGUAUGUUUAUGAACGUGUGCACGUGUGCACACUUGUCGCUCUUGAACGACCAGCCAAUGUUGCAGAGAAUUGGUGCUGGUCACCCUACCACUGGUGAGGAACUCUUUUUCAGUGUGUGUUUUCCCGCUCUGGUUUUGGAAGGCCAUGUGGGAAACUUAAGAGGGUUUUUUUACAAGCCUAGUAAAAAUGUUUUGUUCUGGUUUAUUUUUAUGAAACAUGUUCCAAGAAAUGUCCACAUUCCCAGACAUGUAUCCAUUCAAAAACAAAUCAUUGGCCUUAUCUUAAACCUAAGAUUGACUUGGUUCCCCCUCUUCGCAACAGAUAAAUAGGACAAAAGUUUACCGCCUGGGUUUGAUGAUGUGUUGGUGAGGAUGGGAACAUUGAGAAACACUGAACUGACUUCAGUCACUGCGUGGAAGCAGAGAAAGGGUCUAAUAUCUAAAGAUGAGUUUCAACCUGAGUUGAACCCAGGAAAUACCAAUACACACCAAGGGUAUCCACACAAACAGCUUAGGGAAAGUGAUGGAUGGUGUGCUGUGUGGACUGGCCACAUGAACGGGCUGGCCUACAAAUAAUCAAGCCACAUCUUGGUGCUGAUAUGUUACUUUGAGCUCCCACCAAAGAAUACAUGCUCUGAAAGAAUAUUAUCAUGUCCCUGCUUCGGCCUACACAACAUUCUAUUUAUGAUACAGUGCAGCGCAAGGCUGGCUUUGGCCGGCAUCCUCGGCGGGCUGGAGCUAAGGCUUUCUAAACCGUGGCAAAAUGAAAAGUAGAGAACAUGGAAAAAGUCAUUACAGUCACGUGGUGGCUUUGAAUAAAAGCUGAACUCCUAUUGUGCUUACAAAAUAGAGAGACCUCUCUCUGGGGACAUUCCAAGAUACUAAGCAGUGAGUUCAUGCCAUGGGAAGAGAAAUGUAUUGCUUAAUAUCGUGGGCUGGUCUUUCUCUCCCCUCCGCCACUAUCAUGGGACCUCUCAUCAGAUCGUUGCUGUUUCUUCCCAUCUUUGUUUUGGUAAUGGUAUUCUGAAUGCAAAUAAUAUCUUGUUCUCUCUCUCUCUCUCUCUUUUCAUUUAUCCAUUUAGCACUGUAAGACAAGACAAGAGUACUUUCAAAGAGUAAUUACAUUUCCUGUUGAUUUCAGAUGGAGGCCAGCAACCCAGUCUUUAAUUUAGGAUGUAUUGUUCACACAGUCACUUCCCUUUCCCAUAUCAACAUGAUCUGUCCUACUUUUUAAAUAGGGCAUUAUUUUCUACCAGUGAAUAUAUAACUGUAUUCCAGUGAGACUUCAAGUUUUUUGCAGUACAAGUGCUUGUCAAAACACUGCAGCUCAUCACUUUAAUAAUCUUUUUACAUGAGGCUGCCUGAGAAUAAAUGAGAAGGAAUUUUCCCUGGGUAAAAAAAAAAAUGGUAGAUUUAAUCUCAAUCCAUUAAAAAUUCUCUUUUGCUCCUUUCUAAGUUGAUGCCUUUUGGUUUAAAGGGAGUCAAAUGAAAAUGUGAAAAUAUUUUUAGUCAAUCUUAGAGUUAAAAAGUACUUUCAGAAGGAUGUUCUGUUUAGGAAAAAAUUCAAACUUUUUGCUAAAAUUAUCUUGCCUCAAAGAUUUUGAGUAGACAAAUUCCAAGAGAGCAAACAGUAAAGGCUUAAUAUGGGAGGUGGGAAAAUAUUGCUUAAUAAUGUGGACUUGUCUUUUUUUUUUCCUAUGCCGAUAUCAUGGGACUUUUAUCAAUUCAUGUUCUGUGUCUUCCCAUCUUUGUUUCUGUAAUGGCCUUCUGCAUGCAAACAAUAUUUGUAUUGGGUCUCCUUUUCUGAGCAACUUAAAUAAGGCUUUAAAAGCUAAUAAAUAGCCAUCCUACAUAACUACUUAUAAAUGAUCAGGAAUGGAAGUCGGUUCAAUUGUGUUCAUUCAAAGAACAUGUCAUUCACAUGGUGCAGGUCUCCAGCGAGGCUGGCGAAUUUGGGAGAUCUGUGAAAGGGCUGCUUAGUGUUGUUUGUUCAGAUCCGCUGCUAUGUGAUUGCUUAGGAAGGCAUAAUAGUAAAGAGAAAACGGUUAACUUUUGUACUACCGUGCUAUUGAAACCUCAGUUCCAGCCACCACGUCCCGACAAAGGCACAGUAACAUACGACAAAUCCAACAAUUGCUUGCAGGGAGUUGAAGGAACCGGGGUUCAAAUUCAGACAGAACGAAACCUAACCUGGUUUGAAAACAGUUUCCCCAGAAUACUUGUGUUUAAAAGCAUUCUCGUGUGAAAAACACCGCAGGCCAGAUAUCAGCAGAAUCAAUGAUCCCUGCAUCUUUUAUCAGAAUGUUUAUACAUUUUAAGAUUCUGCAAAGUGCUGUCUAAUCUAACGGACAUUUAUUUAAAAGUGUGACUCAGCAAAAAGAAAAAUGAAGCGCGCUUGCUUCACCACCAGGUGAGGAAACACAAUUUGUUAGGAGGUCAGUUUUCAUACCGCAGGCUGGUGUUCUGGUUAAGAAAUUAUAAAAGCCUUGCAAGUAUGGAUACAGAGAAGCCCCGAGUCAUGUUUUUAUAAGGUUUCGUUCUCAUGAACAUGCUAUUAUUGACACCUCACUCAUUUAUUAAGUGGUAUUUAAAAAUUAAUAAUCUCUUGUUUCUUGUAGUCACUAUGAUGGGAUUAUUUAGAAAUGUAGCUUUUUGCAACAGUGCAAUGCAAGUUUUUGUAUCGCGUUCAGACUCUCCGUCUGUUAACAUUCAGUGUGAUAUGUCUGCUCUAACCGCAAACCACAUCCUGCUUUAAAAUCCGCUUUGAAACACUCUAUACAUACAGCCUAGCCAAGACUAUUUGUUAUCUGACCUUUGACAUUGAACCGCCUUGGAACGAACGUAGCUAUAAAUCUUUUUGGCGCAUUUCUGUCUGCCCAAGAGCUCUGUGAAGCACUUCUCUCAUCAAGCAUCUCCCAUCAAGGUUUGAUAUCCCAGCCUAACUUCAAAAACCCAGUUAAAUAUUUGCCAUCUGUGUUCUGCAACUUGAGUUCAACUUAGAGAACGGGAUGAGAGCUCACGUGGCUAGUAUUUCUAGAAACUUCCAUACGCAUCACGGACACUGUGUCAAGUUUUUACAUUUAAGUAUUGUAUGUAACUGCCCGGUCUGGGUCGAGAUGUAUGAAACUGUAAGACUGUUCUGAAGUUGGGUCGAUCAAAGACAUGUUUGCUGAGCGCCCCUGCUCUGGGUCAGCCCUGAACUGAUUAGAAAUGGGAGGCAACCAUGGAUGAUGGCUCCAGGGAGCACAGAUUGGAUGGAAGACGCCAAGGUGAGCAGUUUUGAUUCAGGCUGCGUUUGGAGAGCAUUGCCCGGGAGGGCUCGUGUGAGCUGGUCUUAAGAGAUGAAGGACUGCAGGCCGCCACACAAGGGAAAGCACUGGAGGCAGGGAGAAGUAUGCAAAAAAAGCGCUCGGUACGCGGGAGGACGUGGUAUGUUCUGGGACCAGAUGCGGUGCUACGAGGCUGGCGCACUGGGUUUGUGGGAGACAGCUUCAGGAGGCAAAGCGCAGGAAGCAGCCCGAGGGUGGAGGGCUGGGUCUCUUUUAUCUCUGUGCCUUUAGACCCAGGGCUGGAAAACACUAGGCUCUCAGAAAACACGGGUGGGAUGUGGAGAGCAUUACAUCUCCCAUGCCAAAGACACCUAGUCUUACCCUAGAACCUGAUAGGUACAGUGAACAUUUAUAAGUGAAUAAUUAUUUAUGAAUAAUAAGAAACUAGCCAGUGUCCAACCUCAGGAGGUAGAGUUAUACACUUUCAGAUAAAGUUUCUAAGUUUGCAAAGACUGCCCUGAAAAGACAGUUUUUUUUUACCCUGAUGUCACGGGUUCUAAAGAAAUUUGUUAAAGUGUUCAUGUGUAGCUCCUAAAACUGACCUCAACCUCCAGACUUGGGUGAUUGACAUCUCUUUUGAGACACUACACCCACAUAUAAAACCAAAGUUUAUGCCUGUUUCUUUUCUUUUGUGGACUACAUAUAUCCAUACUAUUUAUUUUUCUUUCAAAGGGCACAGAAACUUGAAAGUUUCCCUUGGAAAUGGAUCCUAAGCACUUGGUUUAAAUAGUUCUGAUUUUGGUAAAAACAUAAUCUUAAAUUGGUGAUUUUCUAAUUAUUGAGCUCAUUUUCUUAGAGGCUGCCAUGAAGGACAGAUUUUUGUCUUUUAGGCUUCCAAGUAUCAUUUGUAUGUAUUUUUUUUUAAGUGUGUGUCCUGAAGCAGAGUCAGUUAAUCUCUGAAACCUCCCCUCCCCCAUCACUGUGAACGAGCGUCUUCUCAGUAUCCACCCGACGGUGGCUCUUGUUUCCGCCUCCUAAAGACGUAUCUCAACUUUGCAGAUAUUUGCCCCCUUUGGCUGUACAGUGGAACUUGGAUACAUUUUCAAUUAACUUUCUCUAGGAAUCAAAGAGUAAGCUCUGAGGACCCUCAGCUUGUCCG